rnacentral:rRNA from 1 species
UACGUAGGGCGCGAGCGUUGUCCGGAUUUACUGGGCGUAAAGCGCACGUAGGCGGAUUUGUAAGUCAGGGGUGAAAUCCCGGGGCUCAACCUCGGAACUGCAUUUGAAACUGGCAGGCUUGAGUCUUGUAGAGGGGGGUAGAAUUCCAGGUGUAGCGGUGAAAUGCGUAGAGAUCUGGAGGAAUACCGGUGGCGAAGGCGGCCCCCUGGACAAAGACUGACGCUCAGGUGCGAAAGCGUGGGGAGCAAACAGG